UACGGGGGGGGCAAGCGUUGUUCGGAAUUACUGGGCGUAAAGGGCGCGUAGGCGGGAUGGCAAGUCGGUCGUGAAAUCCCUCGGCUCAACUGAGGAUCGUCGAUCGAUACUGCCGUUCUUGAGGAUUGCAGAGGAGACUGGAAUUCCCGGUGUAGCGGUGAAACGUGUAGAGAUCGGGAGGAACACCGGUGGCGAAGGCGGGUCUCUGGGCAAUUCCUGACGCUGAGGCGCGAAAGCGUGGGGAGCAAACGGG
rnacentral:rRNA from 1 species